GUGUCAGCCGCCGCGGUAAUACGGAGGGUGCGAGCGUUGUUCGGAAUUAUUGGGCGUAAAGCGCACGUAGGCGGCCCGUUAAGUCUCUUGGUGAAAGGCCGGGGCUCAACCCCGAGCAUGCCGGGGAUACUGGGGGGCUGGAGACAGGUAGAGGCCAGCGGAAUUCCGGGUGUAGCGGUGGAAUGCGUAGAGAUCCGGAAGAACACCGGAGGCGAAGGCGGCUGGCUGGACCUGAUCUGACGCUGAGGUGCGAAAGCGUGGGGAGCGAACAGGAUUAGAAACCCCUGUAGUCC
rnacentral:rRNA from 1 species